UCUCCCUUCCAGCCACUCCCACCGACGAGCUCUGUGCUCUCACUCGCCCGUUUAGCUUGAGUUGCUUCAGAUGCUGCAGCUACCGUAGUCGCUAUAUCUCCCCUUAACAGCAGUCAUGGCGACAGAGGUCCAACCGCUCACUCUGGAUCGAGAUGUAGCCAGGGCGAUUGAGCUGCUGGAGAAGCUACAGGAGUCCGGAGACGUCCCGGGUCACAAGCUGCAGUCCCUGAAGUUGGUGUUGCAGAGUGAGUUCUGCACAGCCAUUAGAGAGGUGUACCAGUACAUGCAUGAAACAAUCACAGUCAAUGGCUGUCCGGAGUACCAGGCACGGGCUACAGCGAAGGCCACAGUUGCAGCCUUUGCGGCCAGCGAGGGUCACUCUCACCCCCGAGUGGUGGAGCUGCCCAAGACGGAGGAGGGGCUGGGCUUCAAUGUGAUGGGUGGCAAGGAGCAGAACUCUCCCAUCUAUAUCUCCCGCAUCAUUCCAGGGGGCUUGGCUGAGAGGCAUGGGGGACUGAAGCGAGGGGACCAGCUCCUGUCUGUCAAUGGCGUGAGUGUGGAGGGGGAGCACCACGAGAAGGCGGUGGAGCUUCUGAAGGCAGCCAAGGACAGUGUGAAGCUGGUGGUACGCUACACGCCCAAGGUCCUGGAGGAGAUGGAGGCGCGCUUCGAGAAGCUCCGCACGGCCCGCCGCCGCCAGCAGCAGCAGCUCCUCAUGCAGGCUCAGCAGCAGCAGAACCUCACUACCCAGCAGAACCAUAUGUCGUAGGACUGUAGGUGUUGGCAAGACAGCACAAACCAGAUCUGGGACCACCGAGGAGAAGGAGUUGAACCACACGGAUGAAGAAAACAGCUGGCUGUUCCAAAAGAAGAAGAAGUGAGGGACACUGAAAGGAAGGUUCUGAGUCCAUCUCUAUGUGCUGAGGAUCCCGAAGGAACCACCUGGUAGAGGAGAAUAUGAUACUGUUAAGCAGUGAAGACUCUCUCUCGCCCUUCAAUGUACUACCAACAGAAUGAAGCAAAACUGAAAGAUAUGUGUUCUGAAAUGUAAACAACGGUGCUUGUGACAUGAGAGAUUGGAGGCUAGCACUGAAACCCAUCCUUUUGACUUUUAUUUUGUUUGUGUUCACUUGAAGUUGUCCUCUAACAGUUGAAAGUUGUGACCCUCCACAAUGCUCCUUGUCAUUUGUGAUAGUUUAUUUUUGUUAUCUGUUUUGAAUUCAUUUCACUUGUUUCCUGACUUUGGUUUUGCUAUAUCUUUGAACAAUUAUAUUUCUAUUGUUUCUUCUAUGGGAGCUUGUCCCUGUGUGAAUGAACAUUGCUUUUUUUUGUGUCAAACUUGUCCUGCUUUGGAUAAAUGUGAACUCUUUUUUUUUACCUUAUAUAUAUUGCAACGAGAAAAUAUUUUGUAUGGAAACUUGUAGAUUUAGCAAUAACAGACUUUCGUUGGUUUUACAUUUCACAUAAAAGUAAUGAUUAGAGAUAUACAGUAUGUGGUAAAGAUACAAAAGUUAACAAUGUAAUACUCGGUCAACUGUAUCUUAUGCACUGUGUGUCAUAAGGCAGCUUCUGACAUUAAAAUCAAACGGCUGUUAAAAGAGAGGUAUGUAAAGUGGAUGAAUACACAGAGAUAAUUGUACUCAUACAAUUGAAUACAAGUACAAUUAUCGUAAAAUUUCCUAUCUUGACUUUCAGCUCUGAAGUCAGCCAUUUAAUGAUUGUUAGUCAUCUACUCCCAUCAAAUGAAUAUAUACAGAGAGUAUAUAGAGUAAUCAUAUAAAAUCAGAUCUACAUAUAUCAAUAUAAUUUGAACAUUUGAAUCAUUGAUAUGAGGAAUGUCAAACACAUUUAUAUAUACAUAUUAAUGACCUGGCGGGUUAAUCAAAUGGUACAAUUGUCUUUAUAUUUUAAAUCCAUCUAUUUUAUUGUUUACAAUCUGAGUUUUGCAUAAAGUCAUUUCAUGAAGGUAUGUGUGUGUGUUUGUUAACAUGCAGAUGAUUAUUUAAAAUAUUGAAUUGUACAAGACCUAUAGCCCAGUGUAUAAUUCGUACCAGAAUAGUAUGGUUAAUGGACUCAUUCUCCUGGAUCUGCGUCAUCACCUUUACAUUUUGACAAUCAUUGUGAGUAAGAGACUGUGGAAUGUUCUAGUCGUCUUAUCGAUAAGGGACCUCUGUUUUAAACUCUCUCCUUCAACCCUCUACCUAUCGUCUGACGUAGUAUUCUCAUGACAAGUAACCGUCUUUAAGUAUAACAAGUUGCACUGUGGAUUCAUUCAAAGCUAUUAGAAAACCAGUUGAUGAUCAACACUGAUCAAAAAGGAAUCUUGUAUCUGUAGUACUGUCAGACAAACAAUACAUUGGAUGGUUUUCCUAGUAGCAAACUCUAGUAUGUAUGUUCUAUAUAGGCCUAGUUCCUUUGUGGGUGGGUAUUGAAGUAGUGCAAGAUCAUUUGACAGGCAUACUGUGUGCACUGUGCCAUCCUGAUAGUCCAACCAGAUUGGGCUGUGAACAUGUUUUGUCCCUCAACUUUUGAGCAGUUCAUCUUGCCUCUGACAGAUCCCUUUUGUACAUUUACUUAUUCUCUUUCUUAUUGCCGACUUGCAUUUUUUAGGCUGGACGUACUGUACUUCCUGACUGGACGUACUGUACUUCCUGAUUCAACGUACUGUACUUCCUGAUUCGACGUACUGUACUUCCUGAUUCAACGUACUGUACUUCCUGACUGGACGUACUGUACUCCCUGAUUGUACAAAAAAAAAGACAACACCAGGUGAUAUGCAAUUGUUAUACAUAUUAUAUUUGUAUAAAUAAAUAUAUGUGCGUGUGUACAAUGAUGACUU